rnacentral:rRNA from 1 species
UACGUAGGUGGCAAGCGCUACUCGGAAUCACUAGGCGUAAAGCGCAGGUAGGCGGUUUGGUAAGUCUUUUGUGAAAGCUCCCGGCUCAACUGGGAGAGGUCAAGGGAAACUACCGGACUAGAGUGUGGUAGGGGAUACUGGAAUUCCUGGUGUAGCGGUGAAAUGCGUAGAUAUCAGGAGGAAUACCUAUGGCGAAAGCAGGUAUCUGGGCAAUCACUGACGCUGAGCUGCGAAAGCAAGGGAGCAAACAGG